UCAAAUAAAUUGCUAUUCAAAGUGCUUAUAAAGCGUCCGUAUCAUAAGCAAGCGCAGUAUGUGCAGCUAUGACAGGUUAAGAGUGGUGCACAAUACUCAGGUUUCAGACUGGUGUCGAACCUGAUUCGCCACUAACCAGCUGUAGCCUCAUCGAUCAUAAAGAAAGAGUGAUAAUUGUUGCCUUAGAUGUCUUUUGAGCAUGUUGUGUGUACGUGUGCACAAAGGAUCCAACAUUCUUUUUGAGGGCUACCUUUCUAGGGUUUCCCACAGGCCAGAACAUGGAGCCGGAGUUAUAAGUCAGGAAGAGGUGUCCAGUCAUUGGGAAUGAGGUGGCAGAAUAAAGCUCCUCCCUAACUCCGAGGCAUGGACCCUCCGGGAGUCCCGGGACUACCGCCCGGGCGAGCAGGGUGCGUGGACUCUGGGUGGGGACCGUGGCUGCCGAGGAGCAGAGUGGGCGGCGGGCAGAGGCAGAGGCAGCGCCUGCGAGGCUCAGUGGAGGUCGCCGGCCGCGCCUCCAGCGCCCCGAGCCCUGGCACCGCCCUCCCUCCGGAGCCGCCAGAUCGCUCCGCCGGCGACUUCAGCUUAGCUCCCGCUCAGCUCCACCCCAGCGCGUAGGCCGUUCGCAGGCACUGUAGGGACCUCACUUGCCCGGUGCCACCGCCACCCGCGGCCCAACUUGGAUGAAGCUGCGGUCCUAGCGCCGGCCUCCACAGCCGCCAGCGCAGAACCCCGCGCCGCCACCCUCGGACUGGUACCCCUCUCCCCUCUGCUCUCCGCUCCCGCGAGGGGAGAUGUGGCACCGGCUACGGCUUCCCAGCCAGGCUGAUCCUGAAGUUCUGGGUUCCAGCUGGAGACGGGGGCGCGGCCACCAAGGCCGGGUGCGGGAGCGGAGGAGGCCACUUUGCACAGAGUCAGCUGAGAGCUGUCCCUGUGUGUAUCAGGAGAGAGAUUUCCAGGCCUGGGAUCUGAAAUACCUGGGACCGCUGAUAAAGAUGGGAGCUCCUGAAGAAGCCACAGUGCUGGGGAGUUUCCAGGAAGAAGACAUUCUUGUGCAGAGGCCUGGAGAAUCCCUGCUUCUCAUUUCGAUUUACUGUAGUAACGUUUAAUUAUUUUAAAAAAGGUUGUGGAGACUACUUUUUAUUAUAUACUUUUGUGGUGAUGGUUAUAUAAAUGUGUUUAUCUCUUAAAAUUCAUAGAACUGCCCACCAAAAAAAUAAAUUUUUACACACAAUAAUUUUGAAAUAAUAUUAAAAAGGAAAAUAUAAAAUACAUGGUAUAAAUGAUUCCCAAAUAUAAUAUGAAAACUUUUAAUGUAAUUGUCAUAUGGCUUAUCUGAUGACUUAAAUGCCAAGGCAAAGUAGGCAUUAGACUUCCUGAUUGUUUUCUGUUCAUGGAUAAACAUUACCCAUGAAUAUAUUUAUUUAAAAUUAUCUAUAUAGCAAUAUGUUUACACAAAUUUGAUAAUAAUAUACUUGUUUAUACAACUUGAACUUUCCUUUGAUGUUAUUUCUUAGCCAUGUUUCACUUUCCAUGCAUGUAGGACUACCUCAUUUCAUUUAAUGACUAUGAAUAAUUUCAUGACAUAAACCUAGUAAUUUAACUCUAUUCAUUAAACCUUACAAUCUAUGUUUAUUUUAGAUCACUCUAAAACAUGAAUAAAUCAAAGUAUAACUUCGGUUAUUCACCUCAGUAGCGUUGUCUCUGUCUGCAUCUUGCUCUAGCUUGAGGCGCAGAAAGUGAAAUAAAAUAAUGUACUAGAUUUCCAAAAACCGAGAAACAUGGAACAAACUGAUUUUUAAGUGGCCUGAUAGUUGUACUAGGAAGUAAUAUGCUCAAUAUGUUUUUCUUCAGUAACUACAUUUUAGGGAUUUCUAAAUUUAAAGCAGGAUUAUUAUCUGAAAGAAAGUACUGGAAUACUCAAAAGAAUGUCCAAAAAUCCUAGAAGCACAGGGAAUAUAGCAUAUUUAUGUCCUGUUGAUUGAGUAUAUUCAUCAUUCAGAACCAUGAUAGACAGCAAAAUUCCAGCAACAUUAUCCUUUAAUAAUAGUAUGCAUUUAAUCUAAGUUUAAGAAAUCUAAGAUUAUUUUUCUUUCUUUGCUCCUUCCAAGAAUUCAGUUCCAACUUGAUUUGUGAGUGGAAUGAAGGUUCAGAGAUAGUAUUCAGUUAAAUUUUUAACCAAGACACAGAAAAACAGGAAUUCUUCUUCAGACUUGCAGUAUAUGUUUGUUUCACCAGAGAUCGACUGUUGGAUGUCUUUGGUUUGGAAUUGCUUGUAUAUCCAAUAUGUUCCAUAAGAAUGGACUUAAAUGCACCCUCUUGAAUAAUUGGACAUAUAGCAAUUAUGUAAUUCAACUCUUAUCCUCCUCCAUUUACCCCAACACGUCCAGAGUUCUCCUUUCUGGGACUCAGCAGCCAUAUUCUCUAUGAUAUCCCAAAGAUUUCCAUUUCUUAGGAAGUAGAAA
ensembl:lncRNA